AGCCUUCUGUAUCCGUGCUGAGAUUUUGUCACACACUAAACCACAAGUGCUGAUGAGACUUCCCACACACGCUCAAUU
rnacentral:pre_miRNA from 1 species